rnacentral:rRNA from 1 species
UACGGAGGGUGCAAGCGUUAAUCGGAAUUACUGGGCGUAAAGCGUGCGCAGGCGGUUUGUUAAGUCCGUUGUGAAAGCCCCGAGCUCAACUUGGGAAUUGCAGUGGAUACUGGCAGGCUGGAGUACGGUAGAGGAAGGUGGAAUUCCCGGUGUAGCAGUGAAAUGCGUAGAGAUCGGGAGGAACACCAGUGGCGAAGGCGGCCUUCUGGACCAGUACUGACGCUGAAGCACGAAAGCGUGGGGAGCAAACAGG